rnacentral:rRNA from 1 species
GAUGAACGCUGGCGGCGCGCCUAACACAUGCAAGUCGAACGGAGCUGAGAGGAGCUUGCUUUUCUUAGCUUAGUGGCGAACGGGUGAGUAACGCGUGAGUAACCUGCCCUGGAGUGGGGGACAACAGUUGGAAACGACUGCUAAUACCGCAUAAGCCCACGGCCCGGCAUCGGGCUGAGGGAAAAGGAUUUAUUCGCUUCAGGAUGGACUCGCGUCCAAUUAGCUAGUUGGUGAGGUAACGGCCCACCAAGGCGACGAUUGGUAGCCGGACUGAGAGGUUGAACGGCCACAUUGGGACUGAGACACGGCCCAGACUCCUACGGGAGGCAGCAGUGGGGGAUAUUGCACAAUGGGGGAAACCCUGAUGCAGCGACGCCGCGUGGAGGAAGAAGGUUUUCGGAUUGUAAACUCCUGUCGUUAGGGACGAUAAUGACGGUACCUAACAAGAAAGCAC